UUUUUCUUUUCUUUUCUUUUUUUUUUUUUUUCACUUACUCUGUGCUUUUUGCUACCUGCAUGCUAAUAGGAAAAAGGACUCUAAGGAGCCCAAGGAACAUUUCAAACUCCUUUGGGGAAUAUAAUCUGCAAAGAGGACAAUAAUAGCCACCGACCUUGGACACAUUUCACAAGAGCCUUGUGAGUAGGCAUUCUUUGUCUCCAAGUGACAGAUAAGCACACAGAUUCAAAGAAGUUAACACGGAUAAGCAAUAUGCCCUGAGUCCUGCACCCCAGAUGGGCCUGACCCCAAUGCUGUUCUUUCCUCUCCACUGCAUUAGCUCUUAAAAGAAGGAAAUGAAGAUUCACGGUCUCCAAAUGACUUCUGAGCUGGGCCUACAGGGAUCAGGCUCCCUAGUUUCUGGCAAAUCAAAAACACCCAAGAAAGAGAAUUUUAAUCUCAAGGACCAACCUAGCUCAGAAAUUGUAAUGAUAGCUUUCUAUGAUAUGAGUGAAAAAAAAAAAAAGUAUAAAGUAGGUGCGUAGGGUGGAACACGCACAUACAAUCCACUGAGGAUGUACUUGUGGAUGUACGGAUCUAUAAUGACCGUUUACGCACAAAAAUUGUUAGCAACAGUUCUCUCUAGAAAGGUAGGAGAGCUCCGUUCUUCUAUACUGUUCGAAUUUUCUACCACAAGCAUGAAACUCAAUUUCUUACUUAAAGAAUGAGAAAGGAAGGCAAGAGGGAAGUAGGGUGGUUUAUCUGAACAUACAGACCAAUGGUUCUCAACCUCAACCAAUCAUUAAGGUCCCAUCUCCAGAAGUUCACAUUGGUCUGGGCUAUGGCCCGGGCACUGGGAAUCAACAGGUGAUUCUAAUGGGCAGGCAGGGCUGCAGAGAGCCACCCCCUCGGGCCCAGUCUGUUAGGAUAAAAUUUAAAGCCCAAGAGAAGAGGAGGGUCUUAACUUUUUGUAUGCCAUGGACCCCACUGGCACACAGGUGUAGCCUCUGGACGUCUCCUCCAAAUAAUGUUUUCAAAUGCAUAAAAUAAAAUUCAAGGAAUUCCCAAGUAAACAAAUUAGAUUUAGUUAUCACAAUAUUUUUUAAAGAUUUAUUUAUUUAUUGGGGGAGGAGGGACAGAAGGAGAGAAUCUUUCCAGCCAACUCCCUGCUGCCAAGCAUGGAGCCUCCUGUUGGGCUCCAUCCCACAACCCAUGAGACUACAACCCAAGCCAAAACCAAGAGUCUGACACUUUAAUGGACUGAGCCAUCCAGGUGCCCCCACAGUAUUUUUUAACUGUGAUACAAGAAUGGGAGCUCUUUAUCAAGACGCCAAGCAGCAAGAUCUAAAAGUAGCUCCGUUAUCCAUCACCAUUUCGAAGUAGUGAUGAGUGUAAAUACUAUUUGAGGAUAUCAGCAACCACUGAAAUGUGAUGUAGACUUACUGGUGACGAGGUCGGGGCACUUCUAAUACAACUUUGGUGUUUUUGCCUAUGUUCACAAGUGAAGAAUACGCUGGAUUCCAGUUAGCUUCAUUGCGCCUAGGGAUGGAAUGUGUUUCAUGCUCAAGCUCACAGAUUCCAAGGAAUAGAGGGAGGAGGGGAGUAGCUGUUAGAACACAGAGUUCCAGGACCCCUUCAUCCCAACAUCAGUUCUACUAUCAGGUGAAAGAUCUCAAAACAGAAAAGAAGAAAAAGGGAUGCCUGGGUGGCUCAGUGGUUGAGAAUCUGCCUUUGGCUCAGGGAGUGAUCCCGGGAUCCUGAUUGAGUCCCACAUCGGGCUCCCUGCAUGGAGCCUGCUCCUCCCUCUGCCUGUGUCUCUGCCUCUCUCUGUGUCUCUCUCAUGAAUAAAUAAAUAAAAUCUUAAAAAAAAAAAAAAAAAAAGGAA
rnacentral:lncRNA from 1 species